rnacentral:rRNA from 1 species
UACGGGGGGGGCAAGCGUUGUUCGGAAUUACUGGGCGUAAAGGGCUCGUAGGUGGCCAACUAAGUCAGACGUGAAAUCCCUCAGCUUAACUGGGGAACUGCGUCUGAUACUGGAUGGCUUGAGAUUGGGAGAGGGAUGCGGAAUUCCAGGUGUAGCGGUGAAAUGCGUAGAUAUCUGGAGGAACACCGGUGGCGAAGGCGGCAUUCUGGACCGACAUUGACGCUGAGGAGCGAAGGCCAGGGGAGCAAACGGG